rnacentral:rRNA from 1 species
UACGUAGGUGGCAAGCGUUGUCCGGAAUUACUGGGCGUAAAGGGCGCGUAGGCGGCGUGUCAAGUCAGGCGUGAAAGCCCCGGGCUCAACCUGGGAACCGCGCUUGAGACUGGCAUGCUCGAGUUCGGGAGAGGAUGGUGGAAUUCCCAGUGUAGAGGUGAAAUUCGUAGAUAUUGGGGAAGAACACCGAUGGCGAAGGCAGCCAUCUGGACCGACACUGACGCUGAGGCGCGAAAGCGUGGGGAGCAAACAGG